rnacentral:rRNA from 9 species
GGUUAAGCGACUAAGCGUACACGGUGGAUGCCCUGGCAGUCAGAGGCGAUGAAGGACGUGCUAAUCUGCGAUAAGCGUCGGUAAGGUGAUAUGAACCGUUAUAACCGGCGAUUUCCGAAUGGGGAAACCCAGUGUGUUUCGACACACUAUCAUUAACUGAAUCCAUAGGUUAAUGAGGCGAACCGGGGGAACUGAAACAUCUAAGUACCCCGAGGAAAAGAAAUCAACCGAGAUUCCCCCAGUAGCGGCGAGCGAACGGGGAGCAGCCCAGAGCCUGAAUCAGUGUGUGUGUUAGUGGAAGCGUCUGGAAAGGCGCGCGAUACAGGGUGACAGCCCCGUACACAAAAAUGCACAUACUGUGAGCUCGAUGAGUAGGGCGGGACACGUGGUAUCCUGUCUGAAUAUGGGGGGACCAUCCUCCAAGGCUAAAUACUCCUGACUGACCGAUAGUGAACCAGUACCGUGAGGGAAAGGCGAAAAGAACCCCGGCGAGGGGAGUGAAAAAGAACCUGAAACCGUGUACGUACAAGCAGUGGGAGCCUCUUUUAUGGGGUGACUGCGUACCUUUUGUAUAAUGGGUCAGCGACUUAUAUUCUGUAGCAAGGUUAACCGAAUAGGGGAGCCGAAGGGAAACCGAGUCUUAACCGGGCGUUAAGUUGCAGGGUAUAGACCCGAAACCCGGUGAUCUAGCCAUGGGCAGGUUGAAGGUUGGGUAACACUAACUGGAGGACCGAACCGACUAAUGUUGAAAAAUUAGCGGAUGACUUGUGGCUGGGGGUGAAAGGCCAAUCAAACCGGGAGAUAGCUGGUUCUCCCCGAAAGCUAUUUAGGUAGCGCCUCGUGAAUUCAUCUCCGGGGGUAGAGCACUGUUUCGGCAAGGGGGUCAUCCCGACUUACCAACCCGAUGCAAACUGCGAAUACCGGAGAAUGUUAUCACGGGAGACACACGGCGGGUGCUAACGUCCGUCGUGAAGAGGGAAACAACCCAGACCGCCAGCUAAGGUCCCAAAGUCAUGGUUAAGUGGGAAACGAUGUGGGAAGGCCCAGACAGCCAGGAUGUUGGCUUAGAAGCAGCCAUCAUUUAAAGAAAGCGUAAUAGCUCACUGGUCGAGUCGGCCUGCGCGGAAGAUGUAACGGGGCUAAACAAUGCACCGAAGCUGCGGCAGCGACACUGUGUGUUGUUGGGUAGGGGAGCGUUCUGUAAGCCUGUGAAGGUGUACUGUAAGGUAUGCUGGAGGUAUCAGAAGUGCGAAUGCUGACAUAAGUAACGAUAAAGCGGGUGAAAAGCCCGCUCGCCGGAAGACCAAGGGUUCCUGUCCAACGUUAAUCGGGGCAGGGUGAGUCGACCCCUAAGGCGAGGCCGAAAGGCGUAGUCGAUGGGAAACAGGUUAAUAUUCCUGUACUUGGUGUUACUGCGAAGGGGGGACGGAGAAGGCUAUGUUGGCCGGGCGACGGUUGUCCCGGUUUAAGCGUGUAGGCUGGUUUUCCAGGCAAAUCCGGAAAAUCAAGGCUGAGGCGUGAUGACGAGGCACUACGGUGCUGAAGCAACAAAUGCCCUGCUUCCAGGAAAAGCCUCUAAGCAUCAGGUAACAUCAAAUCGUACCCCAAACCGACACAGGUGGUCAGGUAGAGAAUACCAAGGCGUUUGAGAGAACUCGGGUGAAGGAACUAGGCAAAAUGGUGCCGUAACUUCGGGAGAAGGCACGCUGAUAUGUAGGUGAAGUCCCUCGCGGAUGGAGCUGAAAUCAGUCGAAGAUACCAGCUGGCUGCAACUGUUUAUUAAAAACACAGCACUGUGCAAACACGAAAGUGGACGUAUACGGUGUGACGCCUGCCCGGUGCCGGAAGGUUAAUUGAUGGGGUCAGCGCAAGCGAAGCUCUUGAUCGAAGCCCCGGUAAACGGCGGCCGUAACUAUAACGGUCCUAAGGUAGCGAAAUUCCUUGUCGGGUAAGUUCCGACCUGCACGAAUGGCGUAAUGAUGGCCAGGCUGUCUCCACCCGAGACUCAGUGAAAUUGAACUCGCUGUGAAGAUGCAGUGUACCCGCGGCAAGACGGAAAGACCCCGUGAACCUUUACUAUAGCUUGACACUGAACAUUGAGCCUUGAUGUGUAGGAUAGGUGGGAGGCUUUGAAGUGUGGACGCCAGUCUGCAUGGAGCCGACCUUGAAAUACCACCCUUUAAUGUUUGAUGUUCUAACGUGGACCCGUGAUCCGGGUUGCGGACAGUGUCUGGUGGGUAGUUUGACUGGGGCGGUCUCCUCCUAAAGAGUAACGGAGGAGCACGAAGGUUGGCUAAUCCUGGUCGGACAUCAGGAGGUUAGUGCAAUGGCAUAAGCCAGCUUGACUGCGAGCGUGACGGCGCGAGCAGGUGCGAAAGCAGGUCAUAGUGAUCCGGUGGUUCUGAAUGGAAGGGCCAUCGCUCAACGGAUAAAAGGUACUCCGGGGAUAACAGGCUGAUACCGCCCAAGAGUUCAUAUCGACGGCGGUGUUUGGCACCUCGAUGUCGGCUCAUCACAUCCUGGGGCUGAAGUAGGUCCCAAGGGUAUGGCUGUUCGCCAUUUAAAGUGGUACGCGAGCUGGGUUUAGAACGUCGUGAGACAGUUCGGUCCCUAUCUGCCGUGGGCGCUGGAGAACUGAGGGGGGCUGCUCCUAGUACGAGAGGACCGGAGUGGACGCAUCACUGGUGUUCGGGUUGUCAUGCCAAUGGCACUGCCCGGUAGCUAAAUGCGGAAGAGAUAAGUGCUGAAAGCAUCUAAGCACGAAACUUGCCCCGAGAUGAGUUCUCCCUGACCCUUUAAGGGUCCUGAAGGAACGUUGAAGACGACGACGUUGAUAGGCCGGGUGUGUAAGCGCAGCGAUGCGUUGAGCUAACCGGUACUAAUGAACCGUGAGGCUUAACCUU